ACGAACGCUGGCGGCGUGCCUAAUACAUGCCAGUUGAGCGCUGAAGGUUGGUACUUGUACCAACUGGAUGAGCAGCGAACGGGUGAGUAACGCGUGGGGAAUCUGCCUUUGAGCGGGGGACAACAUUUGGAAACGAAUGCUAAUACCGCAUAAAAACUUUAAACACAAGUUUUAAGUUUGAAAGAUGCAAUUGCAUCACUCAAAGAUGAUCCCGCGUUGUAUUAGCUAGUUGGUGAGGUAAAGGCUCACCAAGGCGAUGAUACAUAGCCGACCUGAGAGGGUGAUCGGCCACAUUGGGACUGAGACACGGCCCAAACUCCUACGGGAGGCAGCAGUAGGGAAUCUUCGGCAAUGGACGAAAGUCUGACCGAGCAACGCCGCGUGAGUGAAGAAGGUUGUCGGAUCGUAAAACUCUGUUGGUAGAGAAGAACGUUGGUGAGAGUGGAAAGCUCAUCAAGUGACGGUAACUACCCAGAAAGGGACGGCUAACUACGUG
rnacentral:rRNA from 1 species